ensembl:lncRNA
UAAAAUACAAGCCCCAAUUUUUUAUUAUUAGAUUCAACAGGUAACAAAUAUAAAAUAUCUCUUUCAAAUUGCUAUAAAAGUUUAUAAACUCUCUCAAUUUCUGUUCUUAUCAUAUGGCCAAGAUAGGCCCACCAGGAGAGAGCCAGAGGAUUGAGUGCCCCAGCCUUACUCCUUACUCACCUCUCACUCCCACCACCUACCAAGCCCCACUGGUCAAACCCAACCAGAAAUCAGACAGCAGCGAAGAUCAUUCACACUGCCUGCUGGGCAGCCUCCCAGGGCAGAGAGCGGGAUGCAGAAUGCAAACGGCGGGCCAAGGAACAAAAACCAACAUCAGAGAGCCCAACCCAAGGUACCCCAGAAUCCCAUUUUCCACCCUGUCUUCUUCCUGUCGUCCAAUAUUCUUCCUACCCAAACCAAAUUAUCCAUAUUCCCACAGCCCCCCACCCACAGCCCUGUACUGUUCCUCAUGCCUGGAAGUUUCUACUCCUCUGCUCCUGGCCAAGUCUUCCUCAUGCCUCAGGACCUUAGAGGUGAUCAUGGUCUAGGGUACUCAGAACAUUUGUCCAUCAGGCUCCUUCUUUAAGUAGCAAACCCCACUUCCCUACAUAUGAAGUAAGCACACGGCCAAAAUUUAGUUGGUUCGUUUAGUUAACAAAUAUUUACUGAGAAUUUAGUAUGUGCUGUUCUGGGUCAUAGUGUUCUAGGUACUGCUAAUACAGCACUGAACAAAAGAAUACUCAUUCAGAUAGGGGAAACACUUGUUUAUUGACUGGUAAUCAUAAUUAUGGGCUUCCCCAAUGGCUCAGCGGGUAAAGAAUGCAGGAGCCACAGGAUCAAUUCCUAGGUGAGGAAGAUCCCCUGGAAGGAGAAAUGGCAACCCACCUCAGUAUUCUUGCCUGAAAAAUCCCAUGGACAGAAGAGCCUGGCAGGCUACAGUCCAAAGGGUCGCAAAGAGUCGGAUACGACUGACUGACUAAGCACACAAUCAUAAUCCGCCCCCAGAACUGGGCUAUUGACAUGUGGAAAGCCCUGUUCUUUGUUCCACUAAGGAGGCCAAGCCAGGAGGACAUGCAUGUAGCCCUCCUCCCUGGCCACAGUGAGAAAGCAUAUCGGUCACAGAGAGUGACUCGGAGGGGAAGAGAAUUGAGAUGAAAAGAGAGCACCUUGAUUACCUUGUUAUGCCUAGAUCUAGUCAAGCCUGAAGUCUACACAUGAGUUUCCCAGUUACAUGAGCCAGUAAGUUACCCCUUUUUCUUUUAGGCUUAUUUGGCUUUGAUUUGUGUCACUUGGAACCAAAUGAGACCUGGUUAAUACAGGGACUCAACUCAAACGUUACCUUCUUCUCGGUAUUUUCCCUGAAUGCCUGGUGUAAGACGGCACAGUUUGAAUGCUAUGACCACAUACAGAUGGGACCUCUAGCUUGACGCUUCAUGGAAAAAAUCAAACAGAGCUCCCAGAGGAUAAGGACUUGGAUUUCUGAAUACCCAGGGGCCUUGAGUAUAUAAGAUGCCCCCCAAAUAAUUGUGGAAGUAGCUAAUAAUGAAUUCUUG